rnacentral:tRNA from 1 species
GGAGGAGUGCCCGAGUGGCCAAAGGGAGCAGACUGUAAAUCUGCCGGCGAUCGCCUUCGUAGGUUCAAAUCCUACCUCCUCCACCA